AGCGGCGGACGGGUGAGUAACACGUGGACAAUCUGCCCCCCGGCCCGGGAUAGCCCAGGGAAACCUGGAUUAAUACCGGAUGAGACGGGACCCGCGAUGGCGGGACCCGGGAAAGGCGCUGCGGCGCCGCCGGGGAUGAGUCUGCGUCCCAUUAGCUAGACGGCGGGGUAACGGCCCACCGUGGCGACGAUGGGUAGCCGGCCUGAGAGGGUGGACGGCCACAUUGGAACUGAGACACGGUCCAGACUCCUACGGGAGGCAGCAGCUAAGAAUCUUCCGCAAUGGGCGAAAGCCUGACGGAGCGACGCCGCGUGAACGAAGAAGGCCGUGAGGUUGUAAAGUUCUUUUCGGGAGGGGGAACAACCGUGGCAGGGAAUGGCCGCGGGAUGACGUGAAUCCCGGAAUAAGCCCCGGCUAACUACGUGCCAGCAGCAGC
rnacentral:rRNA from 1 species